GAUGAACGCUGGCGGCGUGCCUAAUACAUGCAAGUCGAGCGAACAGACGAUGAGCUUGCUCCUCUGACGUUAGCGGCGGACGGGUGAGUAACACGUGGAUAACCUACCUAUAAGACUGGGAUAACUUCGGGAAACCGGAGCUAAUACCGGAUAAUAUAUUGAACCGCAUGGUUCAAUAGUUAAAGUCGGUUUUGCUGUCACUUAUAGAUGGAUCCGCGCCGAAUUAGCUAGUUGGUAAGGUAACGGCUUACCAAGGCAACGAUGCGUAGCCGACCUGAGAGGGUGAUCGGCCACACUGGAACUGAGACACGGACCAGACUCCUACGGGAGGCAGCAGUAGGGAAUCUUGCGCAAUGGGCGAAAGCCUGACGGAGCAACGCCGCGUGAGUGAUGAAGGUCUUCGGAUCGUAAAACUCUGUUAUUAGGGAAGAACAAAUGUGUAAGUAACUAUGCACGUCUUGACGGUACCUAAUCAGAAAGCCACGGCUAACUACGUG
rnacentral:rRNA from 1 species